GUAGGUGGCAAGCGUUGUCCGGGAAUUAUUGGGGCGUAAAGCGCGCGCAGGCGGUUCUUUAAGUCUGAUGUGAAAGCCCACGGGCUCAACCGUGGAGGGUCAUUGGAAACUGGAGAACUUGAGUACAGAAGAGGAAAGCGGAAUACCACGUGUAGCGGUGAAAUGCGUAGAGAUGUGGAGGAACACCAGUGGCGAAGGCGGCUUUCUGGUCUGUAACGGACGCUGAGGCGCGAAAGCGUGGGGAGCAAACAGGAUUAGAUACCCUGGUAGUCCACGCCGUAAACGAUGAGUGCUAAGUGUUAGGGGGUUUCCGCCCCCUUAGUGCUGCAGCUAACGCAUUAAGCACUCCGCCUGGGGAGUACGGCCGCAAAGGCUGA
rnacentral:rRNA from 1 species